CUGAUCCAGCCACGCCGCGUGAAGGAAGAAGGCCCUAGGGGUUGUAAACUUUUUUUGUAGGGGAGAAAUAAGAUCUACGUGUACUGUUUUGAGAGUACCUUACCAAUAAGGAUCGGCUAACUCCAUGCCAGCGGCCGCGGUAAUACGGAGGAUCCAAGCGUUAUCCGGAUUUAUUGGGUUUAAAGGGUGCGCAGGCGGAAUAUUAAGUCAGCGGUGAAAUUUUUCAGCUUAACUGUAAAGGUGCCUUUGAUACUGGUUUUCUUGAAUUUGGUUGAUGUAGGUGGAAUUUGUGGUGUAGCGGUGAAAUGCAUAUAUUUCAAAAGGAACUCCGAUUGCGAAGGCAGCUUACUAAGCCAAAACUGACGCUGAUGCAAAAAGGAUUGAGGAUCGGACAGGAUUAGAUACCCUGGUAGUCCACGCCGUAGACGAUGAUUACUACCUGUUUGCGAUAUACAAUAANCGGCUGACCCAAAGCGUUAAGUAAUCCCCCUGGGGAGUACGAUCGCAAGAAUGAAACUCAAAUGAAUUGACGG
rnacentral:rRNA from 1 species